GACGAACGCUGGCGGCGUGCCUAAUACAUGCAAGUCGAACGCAGUGGGGACGGGUGAGUAACACGUGGGUAACCUCCCAUCAGAGGGGAUAACACUUGGACACAGGUGCUAAACCGAUACUGAUGGAUGGACCCGCGGUGCAUUAGCUAGUUGGUGAGGUAACGGCUCACCAAGGCCACGAUGCAUAGCCGAACUGAGAGGGGGAACGGACACACGGGGACUGAGAAACGGCACAGAAUCCUACGGGAGGCAGAAGUAGGGAAGCUUCGGCAAUGGACGAAAGUCUGACCGAGCAACGCGGCGUAAGUGAAGAAGGUUUUCGGAUCGUAAAACUCUGUUGUUAGAGAAGCGGUAGCUAACCAGAAAGCCACGGCUAACUACGUGCCAGCCGCAGCGGUAAUUC
rnacentral:rRNA from 1 species